CGCGCAAAAGGCGCGGACUUAAGGGAAAAACAAAACCCCGCUCGGUGUCCUAGGGUCCCACUCCCCGUGACAUUCGCGCAGCUCGUCCCCCAGAAAGCGGACACGGGGCAGAGGGGGGCGGACGCGGACGCGAACCCGCAGCCAGACCCCGCAGCAGAUAAAAAGGGUCGAAAAACGCUCGGUGCGGACUUCUUUCCGGGGUGGGUUAGGUCAAACCAGAGACGGGUCUGGCUUGCAACCAGGCAAGGGGGUCGGGGAGGAUUCAGGGGGAGAGUAGUGCCCCCCGAAGCUGAACUAUUUGAGAAAGGAAAGCAAAGGAAAAUCACUUUCCGGAGGAUAAAAGGCCGGGAAGCCGGCGGGUCGGAGUCACAAAGGUGUCAGUUCCUCACUGCAGUCUGGGCUCUCCUUGCCCCAUACCUCUUUAUCACUCACAGGAGUUUCUCCCAGUCAACAUCUUGCAUGUGUAAUCCUGUCUUGGUGUCUGCUUCUGGGUUGACCUGAAUUGAUACUGUUCAGGAACUGGCUUUGAAGAUGCAGGAAGGAGGUGGGGACACAAGACAAGGAAUACACAAGACCUCUUGAAGUUGAGAGUGGCCUUCAGCUGUUGGCAAAGAAAUGAGAUCCUAGUCCUAUAACCACAAGAAACCGAAUUCUGCUAAUACACUGUAUAAACAAGGAAAUGGAUUCUCCCCUGGAGCUUAUAAAAAGGAAUGCAGCCCUGCUGCCCCUUGUGGGAUCUGGAACACCAAAACCAGCCAAGCCCACCUGGACUUUUGACCUACAAACUUUGAGAUAAUAAAUUUGUGUUGUUUUAUGUUGCUAAGUUUGUAGUAAUUUGUUACAACUGUCAUAAAAAUUAAUAUAAUUGUUAUCUAUAAUUUCCAAAUAAAAAAUUGAGCCAUAGAAGAGUUGUAUAAUAAGCAAAGGUAGUAAAAAUCAGUUCAUUAUCCUUAAAGCUGGGCUCAAAGUCAUUAAAUGCACCUUACAUGGUGACAAUGUGGUAAAUGUGAUAAUACUUGGUAACUCUCAUGGGCAUUUGCAAUUUUUUUGUGGCUGCUUAAUGCAUAAUUUUCCUUCCUUUUGGGGGUAUUCUCCAUUGUAUAGAUUGGUGAGGUGUGAAGUCUACUUUUCUCUAUCUAUUACCACUACCUAUAAGUCAAGGUAUAGGUUCAUGAACCAUGCUCUGGAUGCUUCUACUUAGAAUUUUGAAUAUGGAGGCAGUGAAGCAAGGAACUAGAAAUGAUUUGAAAGUAUUAAAAGUCCAGUGGCGGUAGCACCACACAGUGACAUCUGACAAGGGUGGAAGCCUAGUACGAGUGGUAGCAAGGUAGCUAGACUUUCUUGUAAUAUGGCUUUAGUUUUGGUUCUGCUGCCAUGAAUCCAUUGGUUCCUACUUAUGUUCUGAGCCUAUUUCUCUAUUCUUCCUUCCUCUUAAGUUCGUAGUCCACCCAAUAUUUUUUUUUUAUCAGUGUAUCUCUUUUCUGAUCAACUUAGCCAUAAUUAGUUUUAGUGGCCUAUAAACAAGAACACACCCUGAUACAGGUGCCUUCUAAAUGCCAGGUACCAUCUUAGAUGUGGAGGUCACGGGCAUCAAAAGGUAUAGUUUCCGAAUGCUGAAAAGUACAAUGUAGUGGUAAGCUGGCUAUACUAAGCAAAGGUUUUACAAGAGCACAUAUAAACGUGCAGUAAUAUGCAUAAGAGCUAUAAUGGAAGCACUAGUAAGAAGCGGAGGACAAGAGGAGUAGAGAAAAGAGUGCCUAUGCUUGCCUGGGAGUUAGGCUCUUUAACAGAGUGAGGCCUCUAGAGCUAACAAGACAGUUGGCAGAGGAAAGGAGACAAGCAGAGGGGUGGGGAAGGGGUUUUAGGUGGAGGGUAUAGCAUCAACAACAAGGGGAUUAUAUCAUAGAAUACUGAGGAGUCACUAAGAUGCACAUUGGGAAAAUAGUAGCAGGGAAGUCUAAAUAUGUAGGUGGAUGUCACAAUAAGGGUCAGAGAUUCUGAAGAAGAGAUUAGAUUAUUAGAAAGAUCUUUUAUGGAAUGAGAGAGUGGAUGAGAAAGAGCCACAAGGCAAGGAAAGAUUGUGGUGUUUCUCUUAGUAAAUUUCAUAUUUUAAGGAGCUGAAAUAACCUCUCUUCACAACAUCUCCUAUGUUCCUUUUGGAAACUCACAAGUAUAAUGUUUUAAUAGCAGACCUGCUAUUUUUGACUUCCAAAUAUCAAGAACCAACAAGUAAACCUUUGUUAGCUUUCAUGGGCUUAGGUUCAUUUGUCAUGUUAUUUCCAUUCUAUCUCAUCUCUUCACAUUAUUGGAAAGCAAUAAAGAAUUAUGUAGUUAGUAGGAAUGUUAAAACAGAACUUUGAAGUAUUUCUUGACCAAUUGAAGAGAGUCUUCAUUGCGCAUGCUGCCAUUACGUUACCAAAGAAACAGGUGAAAGCAGAAAUGAGGUAAGGGUAACAAUUAGAUGCAGAUGACUGAAGAAGUGAAAUGUGCAUGGGGGCAAGGAGUCACAGAUAAUGAGAUAGGUUGGUAGAACUGAGAGCAACAGGAUGUCUCAAAAACUGUAAUAGAAGAUAAUGAUCAAAGCAUAGAGGUCCUUGUAUACAGAAGGCAACAUACACUGGCCUACGUUCUGCAAGUAAAAGAUUUGUUUUCCCCUCCAGUGGAGACUUUGCUCCCUGCCUGUCCCAGGGUAGGCUGUAGCCGGGAGGAAGAGGACCAAGUGUGCUCGUGAUCUUUUCUUGCUAAAGCCCAUAGGAGAAGCCAUACAUUGUGAUUUAGUUCCCAGAGCAACCCUUCAGGUUCUGUUUUAACAAAUAUUGUGGCUGAAACAUUAUGGAAAGAGGAAGUAGGGCUGAUGGUGAUGAGAGGAGGGGCAGGAAUGGCAGGGAGGGAAAGAGAAGGAAGGAGGAAGCAGUAAACAAAGAGAAGGAAGAAGGAAGUAAGGAAAGUCUACAAGGCAGUGAAAGAAGACAGAUCAGCUCCAAAGAAAAUAAUAAAUUGAACUAAUUCUAGCUGCUGAUUGGUUUAAAUGGGACUUGCAAGUCAGCCAGGAGUCUAAACACUCUUAAUAGCAAUUGUUCCAAUUCUAAUCAUUGUUCAAUAUUUAUUGAAUUAAAAUCAUUUAAAUAAAACAUUUGGAUUUGAGAAAGAGAGAGAAAGAGAGAGAGAGACAGAAACAGAGAGAGAGAGAGAGAGAGAGAGAGAGAGAGGGUAGAGCUGCCAAGAAUACAAAGGAGCCACUGCAAGGAGAGAUGAUGGAAAUGGUAAAACAUUAUUACUCUAAAAUAAGGAAGCAGAUCACCUAUAACAGAUGAGGUGAAACCAGGAAGUUUAGAAGACAAAUAUGAGGGCUUAGAGAAGCUGCAUUGCUUGCAUUGUCCAAGAUAUUUAAGAAGCCAUGGAGGAAGUAGAGAAAUUAAACUCUUUUCUCCAGCAAGCAUAGCUACAUGAUGCCUGAUGUCUCUGCUGGGAUUUCAGUUCUUUUGGAUACUGUAGACGGAGACAUGUAAUUAUUUUGGCACUGUUUACUUCUGUAUCUUAUGAAAUUUAGAAACUAAUAUUUAACUGUAACUUGGUUUAGUAAGAGCAGAGCUGGCCAUGGCUUCAAAACAUACACAGAUCUGUCUCUGAAAGGAUGCAUGCCAAGCUGUUAACAGCCCCAGCCUGUGGGAGUGGGGUUGACUUCACGCAUUUUUGUAAUUUAUUCUAAAGUUAACUUUUAAUGUUAACAUGUUAAGCAAUUUUGCUCUUUCUUCACUCUCCUGACCUUUUCCAUACCUGAAGGUUUUCUUGAAAUUACACAAUGGAUACAUGACUGUUGUAAGAUUUUAUGGUGAUUUAUUUAAUCAGUUCCUACUGACACAUUUUUAUGUGGUUUCUAAUUUUUUUGCAAUGACAAAUGCCAUUAAGGGGACCAUGUUUGUAUGUUUCAUGUUUCUGUAUUAAUGUAGGAUAGCUUCACUAUGUGCAUUGCAGUGUCAGAGUGAUGGUGUGCUUUGAUUCUGAGAAAUACUGCUAAAAAGCUUGCUGAAAUGUAAUGAUUUAUACUUCCA